GACGAACGCUGGCGGCGUGCUUAACACAUGCAAGUCGAACGGAAAGGCCUCUUUCGGGGGGUACUCGAGUGGCGAACGGGUGAGUAACACGUGAGUAACCUGCCCUUGACUUUGGGAUAACUUCAGGAAACUGGGGCUAAUACCGGAUAGGAGCUCCUGCUGCAUGGUGGGGGUUGGAAAGUUUCGGCGGUUGGGGAUGGACUCGCGGCUUAUCAGCUUGUUGGUGGGGUAGUGGCUUACCAAGGCUUUGACGGGUAGCCGGCCUGAGAGGGUGACCGGCCACAUUGGGACUGAGAGACGGCCCAGACUCCGACGGGAGGCAGCAGUGGGGAAUAUUGCACCAUGGGUGGAAGCCUGAUGCAGCAACGCCGUGUGCGGGAUGACGGCCUUCGGGUUGUAAACCGCUUUCGCUCAUGACGAAGCUUUGUGUGACGGUAGUGGGUAAAGAAGCACCGGCUAACUACGUG
rnacentral:rRNA from 1 species